UGUCGCCUACGGGGCGCAGCAGUAGGGAAUAUUGCUCAAUGGGGGAAACCCUGAAGCAGCAACGCCGCGUGGAGGAUGAAGGUUUUCGGAUUGUAAACUCCUUUUGCUAGAGAAGAUAAUGACGGUAUCUAACGAAUAAGCACCGGCUAACUCCGUGCCAGCAGCCGCGGUAAUACGGAGGGUGCAAGCGUUACUCGGAAUCACUGGGCGUAAAGAGCGCGUAGGCGGGAUAGCAAGUCAGAUGUGAAAUCCUAUGGCUUAACCAUAGAACUGCCUUUGAAACUGGCAAACUGGAGUGUGUGAGA
rnacentral:rRNA from 1 species